rnacentral:rRNA from 1 species
GCGCACCAGGCGCGAAUACUUUACAAUGUGCGAAAGCACGAUAAGGGAACUCUGAGUGCCUCCUAAGGAGGCUGUUCAGGUGUCUAAAAGCACCUGAAGGAAGGGCUGGGUAAGACCGGUGCCAGCCGCCGCGGUAACACCGGCAGCCCAAGUGGUAGCCACGUUUAUUGGGUCUAAAGCGUCCGUAGCCGGCUGGGUAAGUUCCUUGGGAAAUUUGGCUGCUUAACAGUCAAGCUUUCAGGGAAUACUGCCCGGCUUGGGACCGGGAGAGGUCAGAGGUACUCCAGGGGUAGGGGUGAAAUCCAUUAAUCCUUGGGGGACCACCGGUAGCGAAGGCGUCUGACCAGACCGGGUCCGACGGUGAGGGACGAAGGCUAGGGGCGCGAACCGGAUUAGAUACCCCCGUAGU